CGCGGGGUGGAGCAGCCCGGUAGCUCGUCAGGCUCAUAACCUGAAGGUCGUAGGUUCAAAUCCUACCCCCGCAA
rfam:Rhizobiales bacterium TMED249 75066, whole genome shotgun sequence.